rnacentral:misc_RNA from 1 species
AGCGCGCCGACCGGCUGCGAGACCACGUGACCGGCGCGGGCGGCGGCUCGGGCGGCUCGGGGCGGCGGCUCGGGCGGACCGUGUGACGGCGGUGACGGUGCGGACCGUGCGACCGGUGACGGCAGCAGGAGACGGACGGCGCGGCGGAGCGACGCGACACCGCCGGACACAGCCAGCAGGCCGUGACACGACCCUGAGCCGGCGGCGGCUGCGGCGGCGCAGCCAUGGGCGCCAGCGGAGAGGACUUUGCGCCCAGCUUCACCCAGAAGCCGCAGCUGCGUCAGGAGGAUGACGGCAACCGGCUGCUGUUCGAGUGCAAACUGCGCUCCCGGCCUCAGCCGGAUAUUGAGUGGCAGCGCGGCGACGAGCGGCUCGCCGAGGACUCGCGCACAGUGUUCCGCAUGAAGGAGAUCGACCGCGACCUCUACUACGUGGUGCUGGAGAUUGACGAUGUGAUCGAGACCGACGGCGGCCUGUACAAGGUCAAGGCGCGGAACAAGCGCGGAGAAGUGGCCGCCUCCAUCAACCUCAACUUCAGCCCCGUGGACGAACCAAGCGAACGCCAAAUCGACGGCAUCGCGCCCACCUUCGCCAAGAAGCCCGGCAUCAAACAGGAGGACGAUGGCAAGCGCCUGCUGUUCGAGUGCCGGGUACUGGCUGACCCGCGACCCUCCAUCACCUGGUACCGGGACGGAGUACAGGUGCAGAACUCCCCCCGGCACAAGAUGGUGGUUGAGAAAGACGGGAACGCCUACUUUGCGAUGUUGGAGAUUCUGCAGGUGACGGUUGAGGACGCUGGGAAAUACCGCGUCACCGCCAAAAACGAGCUCGGAGAGAGCAACGCCACCAUCAGUCUCAACUUCGACAGUGAUGACGCGCCGGUACCCGAGGACGGGGUGCGGCCCACGUUCACCGAGCGGCCCAUCAUCCGACAGUCGGACGACGGCUCCACCAUCACCUUCGAGUGCCGCAUGGUCGGCGAUCCCAUGCCCAAAGUCAAAUGGUAUCACGGGAAAUCUCAUAUAAAGGAGAGUAGUAGGUACAACAUGUCCAUUGUCCAGGACACCAAACUGUAUUAUCUAGUGAAACUUGUAAUUAACAAAGUGGAAUCAAGCGACGGAGGCGAGUACACAGCGAUAGCGAAGAACAAGAUUGGAGAGGGCAAAGCGACCAUCAACCUCAAUUUUGAGGGAGGUGGAAAACCGAAAAUUCCCGACGGGAAGGCGCCGCGCUUCCCGAAGAAGCCAUCCAUCCGCCAGGAGGGCGACAACCUGCUGAUGACCUGCGUGCUGGAGGCGCACCCGAUGCCCGACAUCACGUGGUACCACGGCAACAGCAUCAUCACCCAGUCGCAGCGCGUCAGCAUCUCCAGCCAGGAGACGGGCAAGGACACGUACCUGCUGACGCUGACGAUCUCGAACCCCACCAAAGAGGACGGUGGUAACUACAGGUGCAACGCCUGUAACCAGUUCGGAGAGAGCAACGCCAACAUCGCACUUAACUUCCAAGCUGGCGAGGAGAAGCCGCGCGGUCGGGGGCCGCAGUUCACCGAGAAACCCAAGAUCCUGCCGAACGAGGACGGCACGCUCAUCACCAUGAAGUGCCGCGUCAAGUCGACCCCGCCGCCGGAGAUCACGUGGUACAAGGAGACGGAGCUGGUGCAGAGCUCAUCGCGUCUCUCCACUACCAUCAACAAGGUCUCCGAGAACGAGUACGAGGUCCUCCUCCUGCUGAAGGAGCCGGCGGCCGCCGACAGCGGCAAGUACCGCUGCCACGCAAAGAACGAGUUCGGCGAAACCAACGCCAACCUGUCGCUGAACAUCGAGCCGGAGCCGGAGCCGGAGCCGCCGGCCGGCCAGCCGCCCUCGUUUGUCGGCCCGCCGGCCAUACGCUCCGAGUCCGAGCGCGUCAUCCUGAUGGAGGUGCGCGUCCGCUCCGAGACGGCCAUCACCGUCAGCUGGACGCAGGCGGGCCGCGCGGUGCGCGAGACGGCCCGCCACCAGCUGACGCAGAAGGAGCAGAAGCACAUCCACACACUCCACCUGAGGAUACGGGACCCCCAGCCAGAAGAUGCUGGAAUGUACAAGUGCAAUAUCAAAAACGAGUUCGGCGAAAUCAACGCCAACCUAACUCUCAACAUCGAAGUGGUGCCGGAGGUGCGCCAGCAGCCGCGCGUGCAGAUCGUCCACCGACGCCGCACCGUCAUCAUCGAGGCCCGCAUCGCCUGCGUCAACCAGCCCGACAUCAACUGGAUCCACGAGAAACACUCGGUGGUGCGCGACUCCCGCCGAUCGGUCAAGGUCGAGAACGUCGCCCAGGGCGAAUAUGCGGUAAAACUGGAGAUCGAGAACGCCGCCGACAGUGACAAGGGAGAGUAUCAGCUGAUCGCCAAAAACGCCAAGGGCGAGGUCAAGUCCAAGACGGUGAAGGUCACGCAGCUCUUCGAGGAAGAGGAAGAAGAGGCGGAAGAGGAAGUCUCCGAGGUGUCUGAGGUGUCGAAGAAGGUCAAAAAGCCUAAGAAGGAGAAGAAAGAAGAAAAGGCUGUUGAACAGGUCGAGGAGAGUGUCGAGGUUGAGGAGGAGGUGUCUGAAGUGUCGGAGGUCGCCGAGCGACGGAUGAGCAGGGUGCAAAAGAUGGAGGCGAAGAUGGAUCAGCAGGUGGUGGAAGAGGAGGCGUCAGAAGUCUCCGAGGUCUCCGAAAUUUCCGAGAAAAAGGUGACCAAGGUAAAGAGAAAGAAGUCGGAGCAGGUCGAAGUUCCUGACUCCAAGGACAAGCCAAAGAAGGCCAUAGAGCAGGUAGAAGAGACGAAGACGGUUGUUGCUAAUGACAAGGCUGAGGAGGUGGUAGAAACUUCGGACGUAUCCGAAGUAUCCGAGAAACCAGCCAAAGAUAAGACCGACAAGCCUGACAAGCCCAAGGUCACCAAGAAAAAGGUCUCAAAGACAACGAAGCCGAAGCCCAAGGGAGACAAACCUGAGUUCGCAACGUUCCUGGAAUCCGCCUCUGUAGAGGAGGGAAAGGGCGCAGAUUUCAACUGCAAGCUCACAAAGGACGACAUGAAGGUGGAAAUCACAUGGUACAAAGACGGCGUGGAGCUCGACGAGACCAGGGACGUCUUUAUGAGUUUCGACGGCCAGAACAUCAUGCUGUCCAUCUCUCGGAUCAAGCUGGACGCGUCUGGCACCUACAAGGUGGUGGCCAAGAAUCAGUUCGGCUCGUCAGAGUGUUCCGCGCAGCUGACCGUCAACGAAAAAGUGGUCAUCGAGAAGCUGGAACUCGAUGAAGAGGACAAGAAACCGAGAAAGAAAAAGAAGGAAAAAGACACCCCGCAAGAGAAAACCAAGAAACCGAAGCAAGACGAAACAAAGCCAAAAGAUGACGAAAAGAUGGAAGAAGAUAUGGAAAUCUCAGAGGAUGAAGAAAUGGAGGACACAGACACUAAGGUAAAGGUCUCGGACAAGAAGCCCAAAGACACCAAAAUUGAUACGAAAAAGCCAGAAAAGGCCGUCGAUAAGACAAAGAAAAAGGAAUCAAAAACGCUCAAGGAAGAUAGUCCUGAGCCAGAAGAGAAGGACAAACCAAAAACAAAGCGACCGAAGGAUAAAAGGACCAAGGAAGACACAGACCAGUCCCCAGAGCCGGAAGAGCAGGAGUCUAUGUUAAAGAAACCGAAAGAAAAGAAGCCGAAGGUGGAAAGGGAAGAAAGCCCUGAACCUGAGAGCCCCAAAAAGGAUGAACCAACUGGUAAGAAAACAAAGGACAGGAAGGUAAGGCCAGGAAAAGACAAAAGCCCUGAGCCAGAAAGUCCAAAAGAUGAGCAUCGUCCGAAGAAAUCAAAAGAUGAGAAAUCGAGACCAGAAAAAGAGGAAAGUCCAGAACCCGAGAGUGACAUACAGGAUGAACAAAAAGCUCCGAAACCAAAGGAUAAAAAGGCACGAUCCGAUAAAGAGGACCUUCGUGAUAUUGACGAGCCCAAAAGUGACGAAACGACCCCAAAGAAACCAAAAGAAAGGAAGACACGACCGGGUAAAGAUGACGAUAAGCCAAAAACUGAUGAAGCAAAGCCCAAACAACCUACAGAAACAAAAUUGAGACCCGAAAAAGAAGAAAAGGAGGAAGAAAGUCCUGAAUCAGAAAUUACUGAGACAGACGAAUCUCAAACUAAGGUAACGAGGCAUAAAAAAUCAAAGCCGGAAAAACCAAAGAGUUCUGAACAAGAUAAGCCUGAACAGGAUGAGCCAAUCGCUAAAAAGCCAAAGGACAAGAAAACGAGACCGGGGAAGGAGAAAAGUCCAGAACCAGAAAGCGUCGAGACCGAUGAAUCGCACGUCAAGAAACCAAAAGACAUAUCAAAAACGGAGCGCGAAACAGCUCCAGAUGAAGAGAAGCCGGGUAAAGACGAGCCCACCACGAAAAAGCCCAAAGAAAAGAAACCGAAACCAGCGCAGGAGAUUGCUCCGGAGGACGAUAGCGAAAAGCCUGCAGAACCAAGUGCCAAAAAGCCGAAAAGUAAAAAAUCAAGAUGGGGCAAAGAAGAAAGUCCAGAGCCAGAAAAAUCCCCAAAGGACGAUACUGCUGCUCCUAAAGACGAAAAAACAAAAGAGAAACAGCCGAAAGACGCGGACAAGAAGCCGCGGAAAACCCGUCGCGCCAGGGACGCCAUUCCCGAGUCUCCGGACGCUGAGAUGGCCGAGCCGGCCGAGUUUGAGGGACAGCCGAGCGAGGAGCGGGCUCUGGCCAGCACCGAGAAGAGGAGGGACCGGCAGGUGGCCCGGCGGCGCGUGCCGCGCGUGGGCCGGCCCGACGAGGAGAGUCUGGACGAGACGGAGGAGGAGGAGGAGAUCUCCGUUACCACUACGACCACGCGGCGCCGAUCGUCGGUACAGAGAGUAGAGAUGAAAACCUCGUCCCGCAAGAGCUCCGUGCAGGCCGAUAGCGUCGACCAGCCCCUCCCAGAAAAGAAGUCCCCAGCACACCGCAGGGUUCAAGAGACGGAAGAUGUUGACACCGAGGACGAGGUGUCCGAAAUAUCCAUGUCCAUUGGCCAGUUCGAGCGUGAGGUGGCCAAACCAGACGACACAACGGUCCAAGAGCUCAUCGAGGGAAUGCAGGACCUUCAGCUUCCCCAAAAGGCGCACGCUGUCACCGAAGAGCGCGAAGAGAGCUUUGUAGCAAAACGGCGUGGCUCUCGAGAAGUCACUACUAACAAGCGGUGGCGCACGGCUCGCACUGGAAAAGAGGAUGAGCUAGAACCGGAGAAAGUGCGACAAGGUGUAUGGGAAGAACAUGAAUCCGAAGAAGAGGAAACGAUCACAGAGCAAACAACCGAAGAGGUCAUGAGAAAGACGCGAACAAGAAAGCGAAAAGAAGAGCCGGAAGAGCAGGAAACGUCGACCAAAGCUCUUCGCCCGGAAUGGAGAGAUGAUGCCUCCGAAAAGGAUGUCCAGAGAAGGCCAGAAGUUCAUCAGGCAGAACCAGAGACCGAUCAGAAGCCAGACGCUGAUGAUCAAAGACAACCGUGGUCCCGAAAGAAGAAGCCUGAUAAACGUCAAAGGGAGAAUAAAGAAGUUCAAGACUCAACAGAACCAACUAUGAAAGACAGGGAACCAGAAGAAAAGAAGAAACCAAAAGGAGAAAGGCCAAUCGACUCUCAGGAAAACCGAGAAGAGGUCGAUGAGACGAGUGAUACUCGCUGGGGUAAGAAGAUAAAGCCACGAAAGCCAGCAGACACGCGUCCUGACGACAAACAUGUGCCUGACGAAGAAAUGCCGGAAGAACGUAAGCUUCAUCCGAAGCAGCCAAAAGAUGACGAACCAGAAGUUAAAGAUAAGAUGAGGACAUCAAAGACGGGUGUCGAUGAGGAAUCCAUGGAUGAGGAUGAACAUUUUCCACGGGAAAAAGCUACCCGAGAUAAACCUGACAAAAGUGUCGAGGAGGAAAAACUGGUUUCCCCUAGAACUGAUGGUGAAACAACGCCGGAACAUCCCAAAACAAAAACAAAAAGGAAGGUCACAGAUCGACAUCGAAAACCAGACGAUGAGAAAGAGCCGGAAGAUUCGCAAACCAUACAGGAAGGAGAUGUAAAAACAAAGAGGAAAGAAAGCACCGCUAGGAAAUUGAAGAAAGGUGACGAAGACGAAGAAGAACCUGAAGAUAAAAAACCCUUGGUAAGAGAUGAAAGCGAUUCUACCCCAGAUGAAAUAUCUACCCCAUGGGGAAACAAAGUCAAACCUCGCAAAGGAAAGCCUGAAGAGCCACGAGAUGAAGAUGAUAGCUCACCUGAGGAUUAUAAACCAGAAGACAAAGACAAAGAGAAGUCAUUGCAACAAAAGAAGGGACCCAGUGAAGCGCAACCACUAAAAUCCAAAUCGCAACAGAGAAAAAGCCCAGGAAAACAUGUUCCAAGUGAGCAAAAACCAACCUCAUCCGAAUCAGACCAAGAUGCGCCCGAGAAAAUACCUUCUAGGAAACGAGAUCAAGAAACAGCUGGUGAAAAAGACCAAGACGAAAAAAUGCCGCGAAGGAAAAAGCCAAAACCAAAAGAUGUUGAAAGCAAAAAGCCUCAAGAGCAGCCGCAAGAUAAAAAGCGAUCCGAUACAGUAGAUGAAAAGCUAUCAUCAGCAGAGGACACGGAAGAAUCCAGUGCCAGUACGGUUGGCUCCGUGCGGGAGGUGAAAGACAAACGAAAAAUAGGGAAACAGGACAUCGAAGAUAAAGAAAGCAGACAGCUGACGGAUACAUCAGAGGAUUCCAAAGAACCUGAUGACCAGCAGAAAGAAAGACCGAGACGUCCUAAGUCCGAUGCAGAGUUGACGCCUUCAAGUAAGGAUGUUUCGCCUUCGGAACCUUCAGAUCAAACCCAUGCACCUACAUCAAAAGUACGUGAACCAAAGGCAGCCAAAGACGAUGAAAUAGAAGAGAUGGACAUUGAUAUGCAAGAAGUUAGUGAACCGACCGAAGAAGCAAAUGAUAUGCCGUGGAGGAGAAAGAAGGCAAGAAAGCCUGGCAAAAAGACAGCGCCUGAAGGUGCUAAGACUGAUGAAGGUAAGGACAAGCCAAAGAAACUAGACCGCGAUGACCAGACCGAUGAGGAGGCUGAUCAAAGACCUCGGAAGAGAAAGGAAAGUGACAAGGGAACUAAAAUAACGCAGCCAGAAACACCAACGACAAGGGACAAGACCCCCAAACAAAUGCCUGAAGAAGACGAAACAGCCCCAGAGGACGUAAACAAAAUAUCUCCUCACCCUGAUAAGCGCACAGACAAACCAAAAACAGAUAAAAUAGAGGAUGACGAGCACAUCGAAGCUCAAAAACCGAGGAAGGAUGAGGACACAACUACAAAAAGGCCAUCGAGAAAGAAACCUGACGACACUAAAACACCUGAAGCUACCAAGCCGAUAACAGACAGGCCAGAUGAAGUCAGGUCAGCAAGGAAGCCUGAAAAAAUCGCGCCAUGUGAUGAUGAGCCAGAAACAAAGCCAUCGGGGAAAAUGCCAUCGGCAGAACAAGAAUAUUUGGAUGAUGAAGGCGAGUUCCUUCCGAGACAGAGACCAAUGAAAAAGAAACGAGAUGAGGAAACACCACAGUCAGCGAUCGAUGUCAAAACAGAAAAACCUAAUGAAAGCCAGCCUGACGAAAAAACUCAGGAAGAUAAACUUGGUGAAGAUAGGACAGACAAAGCCCAGCCGAAUGCAGAUCAACACACGACAGCUGAAGAGCCUCAAGAUGAAGGUGUUCCAUGGCAAAGGUCGAAAAAGAAGCGCGACAAGAAGCCUACCACUAAAGCAGAAAAACCAGAUACAGAUGAGACAAAGUUGGACAAGAAGAAAGAGAAUGAACAAAUCAGCGAACAAGAAAAACAACAGACAGAUGAGCCCUCAGAGGAAAAGGAAACACCCAUAGAAGACGACGGACUUUUGCCGUGGCAGAGAGCAUUAAAAAAGAAGCGUGAGGAAAAGUCCACAGCUAAACCUUCGAGUGGCACGGAAGAAGCAAGAGACGAAGGCCGUCCCGGUGAUAAACUGACCGAAUUAAAACCCAAAGAACAUGAUGAAGACUUAACAAAAGAAAAACCGUCUUCACUUGAUGAUGCGCCGAAUGCAGAAAAGGACAAAAGGUCACCAUCAGGGAAACCCGAUGAAAAAACACGGAUAAAGCCUACUAAACUCGAUUCAGAUGAGCCAAUACAAGCUCAAGAUGAGAAGGAGAAACCUGAAAAGGAUGAUCAGAAACAUGAUAAAAUGCCAGAAGGAAAAGCAUCUGCUGACGAAGACAAACCCGUUGAAGACGAUGGACUUCUUCCUUGGCAGAGAUCCCGAAAAAAGAAACGGGAGAAAACAACGAUUCCCAGAUCUGACGAGCAGGAGGAUGGCAAAUCAACGGAAGAGAAGCCCGAAGCCAAGGAAAGCGAUAAGCCGGAGAAUAAAGAAGCUAAGCCAGUGGCAGAAGACCAGCCACCUGAAGAAGACGACGGCCUCCUUCCAUGGCAGAGAGCGCUGAAAAAGAAACGCGAAGAGAAGCAUACUCCCAAUACGUCUGACGAUAAGGAGAAGCCAACUGAUCACGACGGCAAGGACGAAAAACCGGGUGAAAAGAAGCCGAAGGACAGUCUACCGGAUGAAGACAAGCAAAAGGAGCCUACACAGGCGAAACCGCAGGAGUUGCCAGAAGAAGAUGAUGGACUCCUUCCUUGGCAAAGGUCAAUUAAAAAGAGACGAGAAAAGAAAGCUGUUCCGAAAGAUGAUGAACGUGACAAGGGUAGGGUCGCAGAUGCGCCAGAGUCAGAAAUGCCAGACAUGACAAGCGCAAAGAAACCAAGGGAAGACAAAGCACCGACAGCCAGCGACGAGAGCAGUCCAAUGGAAGUGGAUGCACCGGAAUUGUCGCAGCCUUCCGAUAAAAGUGAACCAUUGGACAAACGCCAGCCAAAGUCCAGUAAGAAAUCCAAAGACAAAAAGUCUCACGAUACUCAAGAUCAGCCGGCUAAAACCAAAGACGAGCCGAACACUGAGAGGAGACCUAGCAGAUUGCUGGAAGAUGUUGAGCCUGAGCAUGCCGGAGAGAGCUUUGCCAGAACUAAAUCCCUCUUAAGAAAAGCAAAACCAAAAGAGAAACCAAAGAAGGAAGAGGAAGCUGAGAUGUCUGUGCCCUGGGCCAAGCGCCCGCAGAUCACGGAGCUGAAGGUGCCAAAGUUUGCUGAAGUCAGCGAGGUUCCAGCAGUAGUUGUCGAGUCGCCGGGCGAGGAAGAAGACGGUCUUCUGCCAUGGCAGAGAUCAAUCAAGAAGAAGAAACGCGAAAAGAAAGCCACCCCGAGGACUUCGGACGCCGAGGAAGAGAAGUCGGCGGCAGAGGAGGCGCCAAAGAAGAAGAAGAAGAAGCCGCGCACUCGGCCGACCACCUCCGAUGUGGACGACACCCAGCCGGACGAGUCCUCGCCCUCCGAGGCUGACUCGAGUCGCCGCGGCUCGGCGGCGCCCAGUAGCAUCGCCGACGAGCCCAAAGACGAGGAGCGAAAGCCCAAAACAAAGCCAAAGAGACAGUCCGUGCCCAUAGAGAAUAAGACGCCGCAGCAGAUUCUCGCCGAGCAGCGCGCCGCGCUGUUACACCGCAAACAAAAGAAAGCCAAGGCCGAACAACAGACGGAGGAGGCUGCGCAACAGAUUAAACAAGUCCAUGAGGAGGUCAUUCCCCCGAAGGAAGAGCCAAAGAAAAAGGCCACCAGGCACCGGAUCCAGGUCGAGGAGACCGACUUCCGCAAGGUGCAGCUGCAGCCGACGCAGCGUCCCAAGCGCGCUGUGGUUGUCGAGGAGGAGGAGAAGUUCCCCAGCGUGACGCUGAAGCCGGUGGAGCCGAAGCCGAACCUGGCGCGACGCAAGUCCUCCGUCAGCUACCUGGAGGAGGGCGAGCAGUUCACCCUGACCCCGACCAUUGAGAUCAAGAAGGACGCGUCGCCGGCGGGCUCCCGGAAGGGCAGCCUGGCGCCGGGCGGCACGGGCAGCCGGCGCGGCUCGCUGAUCCCGCCCGAGGAGCAGCCGCGCCGCGCCUCCAUCCUCCUGCCCGACGACGAGCACAGAAAGGCCCGGCCCGGAGAGAUAUUUGAAGGAAAGCUGGGAGCCAAACUGCGUCCGGGAGAGAUGGGUGCCGAGCGUCGUCGCCCCUCGUCCGACGUCCGCCGUCCGUCCGUCUCCGAGAUGGAGGACCUCAUCAACAAGCCUUCGACGCCCCUGCGCGCCAUCGGCGAGCCCGGCCCGCCCACCAUCGUCGACAUCCAGGACAGCUACACCGUGGUCGAGGACGCCAAUGCCUUCUGCAUCCUCUCGGUAGAAGGCAACCCAGCUCCGACCUUCAAGUUCUUCAAGGGCAUCCAAGAGCUGGUGGAGGGCGGCCGGUACAAGUUCAUCACCACCGGCGAGACCAACACCAUCAUGCUCUGCAUCCGGAAGGCCAAGCCGCAGGACGAGGGCUACUACAAGGUGGUCAUCGCCAACGAGCACGGCGAGGACUCGGCAGAGUUCCAGCUCUUCGUCUCCGACGCCUCCGGCAUGGACUUCCGAGCCAUGCUGAAGAAGAGGCGGUACGCCAAGUGGGACAACGACCAGGGCGACCCGGACUGGGGCGACCUCAAGGAGGUCGACAAACCCCAGAUCCCGCAGCUCAAGAAGGUGGAAAAGAAGUCCGAGUCCUUCAUGAAGCCGUUGGUGGAUCUCACUGUCAAGGAAGGCAAGGACAAGGUGGCCACCUUCGAGUGCGUCUUCUCCAAAAGCAAGAUGAAGCCCAAGUGGCUCUUCAAGAGAGACGAGAUUUUCCCGGGCAACAAGUUCCAGUUCAAGACAGAAGGCAACACGUACUCUCUGAUCAUCGACAAGCCCAAGGUGGACGACUCGGGAAAAUACACCAUCGACCUGGGCGGCGUGCAGUCCACCGCCUUCCUCCUCGUCGAACAGCCGGACCCCAACUUCAAGUUCGUGAAGAACCUGCCGAAGCACACGGACGGCUUCUUCACCGAGGAAGUGGUACUCGAGUGCCAGGUCAACUCCCACAAGGCCAUCGUGCACUGGUACAAGGGCGAGGAGCAGAUCGAGGACAACGAGAAGUACAGCAUCAGCAAGGACAUGAUGGGCAACUGCCGGCUGACCAUCAAGGAGGGCGCCAAGGAGGACGCCGGCGACUGGAGCUGCCGGCUGUUCAAGCAGAAGGACAAGACGCACACCAAGGUCACCCUCAUCGACCGUCCGAUCCGGUUCACGCGCAAGCUGAAGUCGAUGGAGGCCGUGGAGAAGGGCAAGAUGGUGAUGGAGGUGCACACCGAUUACCCGUGCUCCGAGAUCAAGUGGUUCCGCGGCGACGAGGAGAUCGUGCCCGACGGAAAACACAUCAAGAUCGUCAGUGACGGGAAGAAGCACCAGCUGAUCAUCAAGCCGGUGAAGAUGUCGAUGGCCGGCGACUACACGGCCAAAACGAACGCCGAUACCACCACCGGCAACAUGCACGUCGAAGUGCUGAACAAGUUCCUGAAGAAGCUGGGUGACGAGGAGGGCACCGAGCGCGAGGACAUUGUGCUGGAGAUCGAGCUGGUCGACCACACGGCGCCGUGCGAGUGGUUCUUCGGUGACAAGCUGCUCGAGCCCUCGGACAGAUACGAAAUAAAGAACCUGGGCGGCGGCAAACAUCAGCUCAUCAUCAAAAACGCCCAGCUGAGCGACGAGGGCGACUACAUCUGCAAGUCUGACAAGGUCGAGACGCAGGGCCACCUCACCGUUCACAAGGGCGAGUCCAAGCCCAAGAUCAAGUUCGAGGGGCCCGUCACAGGCCCGGUCUUCAAGCCACUGACAUUCGAAGUUCCGUACAAGGUCUCUGGCAAACGUCAGUCGGACGUAGUCGGCAAACUGUUCUACCAGGGUCAGGCGCUGACCCAGAAGGAUGUGGAGAUCACCGUCAAAGAGAAGGUGGUCAUCUACAAGAUCCGCCACCCCAACAGUGACCAGAGCGGGGAGUACGAGAUCAAACUCUCCAAUAACCGCGGAGAGGACUCGUUGACCGUUCAGAUCAACAUGCAAGGCGUGCCGAAGGAGCCGGAGGAUGUCGAGGUGACCGACAUCUUCGCCAAGUCCUGCGUCGUCUCCUGGAAGAAGCCGCAGAGUGACGGAGGGGACGAGAUAAUAAAAUACGUCAUCGAGCGACAGGACCUCAGCAAAAAGGGCGGCUGGGACACGGUGGGCGAGACGUCGGCAGACGAGCUCACCUUCAAGUGCGAGGACCUGGUGCUCAAGAAGCGGUACAAGUUCCGCGUCAAGGCCAUCAACCGGCAGGGCGAGUCGGAGCCGGGCAUCGCCAGGGGCGAGAUCCUGGCCAAGGACCCCUGGGACGCAGAGACAUCUACAGAUGGCACAUCCAAAGACGAGCCCGGCAAGCCGGGUAACGUGGAGCUCACCGACUGGGACAAGGACCACGCCGACCUCAAGUGGACCAAACCGGAGAACGACGGCGGCGCGCCCAUCACCGGAUACGUCAUCGAGUACAAGGAGAAGUUCGGCUCCGACUGGGUGGAGGGCAAGUUCAUCUCGGGCGAUGUGGAGUCGGGCACCAUCGACGGCCUCACCGAGGGCAAGUCGUACGAGUUCCGCGUGCGGGCAGUCAACAAGGGCGGCAAGGGCGAGCCGUCCGACCCCACCAAACCCAUCAUCGCCAAGAGCCGCUUCGUUAAGCCGUACAUCAUCAACAAGGACGAGUUCAAGAACAUCGUCAUCAAGAAGAACCAGACGAUCACGCUGGACAUUCGGUACGGCGGCGAGCCCGAGCCCGAGGUCAAGUGGCUGAAGAACGGGGAGGAGAUCGUCCCAGAUGGCGACAGGAUCACGAUCGACAAGUACGAGAAGAACACGGUGAUCACCGUUCGGCGCUGCGAGCGGCCCGACACGGCCAAGUACCGGCUGGUGCUUACCAAUACCUCCGGAUCCUGCGAGGGAGAGGCCGACGUCGUCGUGCUCGGCAAGCCGUCGCGUCCCGAAGGUCCGCUGGAGGUCACUGAGGUCAGGGAGACCAAGGCCACCGUCAAAUGGAAGAAGCCCAAGGACAACGGCGGCCAGGACCUCAAGGGAUACGUCCUCGAGAAGAUGGACAUGGACUCGGGCCGCUGGGUCCCGGCAGGCGAGGUGGACCCGGACAAGACCGAGGCCACCAUCGAGGGUCUGACGCCUAAGAAGAAGUACAAGUUCCGCGUGCGGGCCGUCAACAAGGAGGGCGAGUCGGAGCCGCUCGAGACUGACGAGGCCAUCGAGGCCAAGAACCCCUACGACGAGCCCGACACCACCGAAGGAGGCGAGCCCGGGAAGCCCGGGAAGCCGGUGAUUGACGACUACGACAACACGAUGGUGAAGCUCAAGUGGACGAAACCGGAGAGUGACGGCGGCCGGCCCAUCACCCACUAUGUCAUCGAGAUGAAGGACAAGUUCUCCGACUGGAGCGAGGUGAAGAAGACUCCUGACGAUAACUGCGAGACGGAGGUGGAGAACCUGAAGGAGAACAUGACGUAUCAGUUCCGAGUGCGCGCGGUCAACAAGGCCGGCCCCUCGCUGGCCUCCGAGCCCACCGACAACCACAUCUGUAAACACAGAAAUCUGAAGCCGCGUAUCGACCGGACCAACAUGGUAAUGAUCACCAUCAAGGUGGGCCGCUCGCACAAGUACUCGGUGGACGUGCGAGGCGAGCCGCCGCCAGAGCUCACCUGGUCCUGGCGCGACAACGUGCCCCUCCAGAACACCGAGAACAUCAAGAUCGAGAACGUGGACUACCACACGGACUUUAGCAUCGAGAAGGCCACCAGGAAGGACUCGGGCAUCUACACGCUGAAGGCCGAGAACAGGAACGGAAAAGACGAGGCCCAGUGCGAGCUGGUCGUACUCGGAAAGCCGACCCGUCCGAACGGUCCGCUGGUGGUGGAGGACGUGUACGACAAGGGCGCGAUCCUCAAGUGGAAGAAACCCGACGACGACGGCGGCAUGCCCAUCAAGGAGUACGUCAUCGAAAAGAUGGACAUGGACACAGGUCGCUGGGUGCGGGCCGGCCGGUGCCCGGGCGACAAGGAGCACCCGCAGUUCCACGUCAGCGACCUGACCCCCGGCCAGGACUACAAGUUCCGCGUGGUGGCCGUCAACGACGAGGGAGACUCGGAGCCCCUAGAGACCGAGGGCGCCAUCAAGGCCAAGAAUCCCUACGAUAUCCCGGACCCGCCUGGCAAGCCGGAGAUCACCGACUACGAUAACAAGUCGGUCGACCUCAAGUGGCGGGCUCCCAAGAGCGACAACGGCGCUAAGAUCGAAAAGUACAUUGUCGAGAAGCGGAACAAGAAGACCGGAGACUGGGAGAAGGUCGGAGAGACUCCGGGCGACGAGCUGACGAUGAAGGUGGAGGACCUGGUGGAGCGCCAGGAGUACCAGUUCCGCGUCAAGGCCGUCAACAAGGCCGGACCCAGCGAGCCGUCCGAGGCCACCGACUGGCACAUGGCCAAACACAGGAAACUGGGACCUCGCAUCGACCGUACCAACCUGAAGAUGACCAAGACCCGGGCAACGAAGCAGGUGGCGUUCGACGUCGACAUAAAGGGCGAGCCGGCACCCAAAGUCAAGUGGUACUUCAAGGACGAAGAGGUUGCCGAGCCGAACAUAACGAUCGUGAACGUGGACUACAACACCAAGUUCACCCUCAAGGACAGCCUGCGGAAGAACACCGGCAUCUACAAGAUCGUGGCGGAGAACAUGCACGGCAAAGACGAGGCCGAGGUCGAGAUUGUCGUUCUUGCGGCUCCGUCGCGGCCCAAGGGUCCCCUGGAGGUGUCGGACGUCACUGCCAAGGGCUGCAAGCUCAAGUGGAAGAAGCCCGAGGACGAUGGCGGCACCCCCAUCCAGGGAUACGCCAUCGAGAAACUGGACACCUCGACCGGUCGCUGGGUGCCGGUGGAGAAAGUGGGUCCGAACGACACAGAGGCCAACAUCGGCGGACUGGUCGAGGGCAAGGAGUACCAGUUCCGGGUCAAGGCCAUCAACGACGAGGGAGAGUCCGAGCCGCUCGAGACGGAUCACGCAACACUAGCCAAAAACCCCUACGACGUUCCGACCAAGCCCGGCACGCCGGAGAUCGUAGACUGGGACGAGACGAGCGUUAGCCUCAAGUGGGAGCGUCCCAAGAGCGACAACGGCGCGCCCAUCACCGGCUACAUCAUCGAGAAGAAGGAGCGCUUCGGCAGCUCCUGGGAGCCCUGCCUCGAGACCAAGGGCCCCAGCACGGAGGCUAAGGUGCCGGACUUGACGGAGGGCAAAAUCUAUCAGUUCCGCGUCAAGGCGGUGAACAAGGCCGGUCCCUCGGAGCCGAGCGACUCCACCGGCCAGCACCUCUGCAAGGCCAGAUACCUGAAGCCGUGGAUCAACCGCGAGAAGUGCAAGCCGGUGACGGUGCGCGCCGGCCAGAUCGUCCGACUGGACAUUGACGUGCGGGGCGAGCCGCCGCCGAAGAUCACCUGGACGGUGGCCGGCCAGGAGCUGGGCACGGACGCCCACCAUCGGAUAGAGAACGAGGACUACAACACGCGCCUGCAGAUCACAGACACGUCGCGCAAGCAGUCCGGGAAGUACGUCAUCCGGGCCGUCAACGACUCCGGCUCGGACGAGGCCGAGAUUGACAUCACCAUCCUCGACAAGCCGGGUCGGCCGGAAGGUCCACUGGAGAUCACGGACGUCCACAAGAGCCACUGCAAGCUAAAGUGGAAGAAGCCCAAGGACGACGGCGGUCUGCCCAUCACCGGCUACAUCAUCGAGAAGAUGGACACGUCGACGGGCCGCUGGCAGCCGGCGGCGCGCACUGACGGCGACACCACCGACACCGAGGUCAAAGGCCUCGAGCCCGGCAAGCGGUACGAGUUCCGCGUCAAGGCCGUCAACGACGAGGGGGAGUCGGAGCCGCUGGACGGCGACCAGAGCAUCCUCGCCAAGGACCCGUACGACCCACCGGGUGCUCCGUCCAUCCCCGACAUCGUCGACUGGGACGAGAACAUGGUGGAGCUCAAGUGGGAGCCGCCGCUGCGUGACAACGGCGCGCCCAUCACCGGCUACGUGCUGGAGAUGCGGCCCGAGGGCUCGCACGACUUCGUCAAGGCCAACGAGGUCGGCCCCGGCUGCAAGGGCAAGAUCACCGGCCUGACGCCAGGCCAGAAGUACGAGUUCCGCGUGCGGGCCGUCAACAAGGCCGGCGUCGGAGAGCCGAGCGAGGCGACCACGCCGCACCUCGCCAAGGCGCGAUUCCUGAAGCCGCGAAUCGUGCGCGACAACCUUCAGCCGGUGGUGGUGAAGGUGAACCAGCAGGUGCUGCUCGACGUGGACAUCAUCGGAGAGCCGCCGCCAACCGUCACAUGGACCUUCAAGGGCAAGGACGUGGAGACUGGCCGCGAGCUGACCAUCACCAACGUGGACUACAACACCAAGUUCGCGCUGUUCCGCGCCAAGCGCGGCCACACUGGCAAGUACACGGUGACGGCGAAGAACUCGCAGGGCGAGGAUACGGCCGACGUAGAGAUCACCGUGCUCGGCAAACCGUCGCGGCCCGAGGGACCCCUGGAGGUGUCUGAGGUCACGGCCAACGGCUGUAAGCUGAAGUGGAAGAAGCCGGAGGACGACGGCGGAGCGCCGAUCGAGUACUACGAGAUCGAGAAACUCGAUCCGUUCACCGGCCAAUGGGUGCCGUGCGGCAAGUCCAGCACGCCAGAGGCGGAGGUCACCGGCCUCCAGGAGGGCAAGAAGUACAAGUUCCGGGUCAAGGCUGUCAACAAAGAGGGCGAGUCAGAGCCGCUCGAGAACGAGGAGCUCAUCCUCGCCAAGAACCCGUAUGAUCCGCCAGAGAAGCCCGAGCGGCCUGAGCUGGUCAACUGGGACAAGGACUUCGUGGACCUCAAGUGGAAGAAGCCCAAGGACGGUGGCGCGCCCAUCACCAGCUACAUCAUCGAGGCCCGGGAUAGGGACGACCGCGCCUCCGGAUGGCAAAAAUGCCUCUCCACACCCGGAAACCACCUGGAGGGUCGUGUCACGGACGUCGUGCCGGGACACGAGUACGAGUUCCGCGUGAUCGCCGUGAACAAGGCCGGUCCCUCGGAGCCGUCCGACGCCUCAAAGUCGGUCGUCUGCAAGCCCAGAUUCCUGAAGCCGCGCAUCGACCACCGUAACCUGGACAAGAAGGUGAUCCGCAGCGGUCAGAUGCUGCGCGUCGAGAUCGACAUCGAGGGUGAGCCGGCGCCCAAGGUGACCUGGGAGCUGGACGGGCAGCCGCUGAGGCCCCGUGAACGGCUCACCAUCGAGAACGAGGACUACCACUCGACGUUCGUGCUGCUGCGCGCGCAGCGCAGCGACACGGGCAAGUUCACCAUCACGGCCAGCAACGACUCGGGCACCGACACCGCCGAGCUCGACCUCACCGUCGUCGGAAAGCCGGGCAAGCCGAAGGGUCCCCUGGAGGUUUCUGACGUCACCGCCAAGGGCUGCAACCUCAAGUGGGAUAAGCCGGAGGACGACGGCGGCGAGCCGAUCGACCACUACGUGGUGGAGCGGAUGGACAUGGACACGGGCCGCUGGGUGCCCGUCUGCACCAGCAAGCUGCCCGAGGCCGAGGUGGACGGACUCAACGAGGGCAAGGAGUACCAGUUCCGCGUCAAGGCCGUCAACCCGGAGGGCGAGUCGGAGCCGCUCGAGACCGUGCUGGGAACCGUGGCCAAAAACCCGUACGACGUUCCCGACGCGCCUGGAGCGCCGGAUAUUGUCGACUGGGACAAACACCGCGUGGACCUCAAGUGGAAGGCACCGAAACGCGACGGUGGUGCACCUAUCACCGGAUACAUCAUCGAAAAGAAGGAUCAGUACAGCACCAAAUGGCAGAAGGCGGUGGACAUCCCCGGCACGAAGUGCGAGGGUCGCGUGCCCGACCUCACAGAGGGUCUCAAGUACAAGUUCCGCGUGCGUGCCGUCAACAAGGCGGGUCCGUCGGAGCCGAGCGACGAGUCCAAGAGCAUCCUGGUGAAGGCCAGAUACGCUGCCCCAUACAUCGACCGCACCAACCUGCGCGACAUCACGAUCCACGCCGGAGCGCCGUUCAAGUUCGACGUCAAGAUCACGGGCGAGCCGCCGCCAACCAAGACUUGGUUCAUGAACAAGGCGCGGCUGGACAGCCGGGACAACCUCACCAUCGACGUGGAGGACUACCGCACCAAGCUGUCCGUGUUCAUGGCCACCCGCAAGGACACGGGCAGCUACGUCAUCAAGGCGGAGAACGACUCGGGCAAGGACGAGGCCGAGGUCCAGGUCACCGUGCUGGACAAGCCCAGCAAACCCGAAGGUCCGUUGAAGAUCUCGGACGUCCACAAGGAGGGCUGCACGCUCAAGUGGAACGAGCCGCUGGAUGACGGCGGCCUACCGAUCGAGGGCUACGUCGUCGAGAAAUUCGACACUGAUACUGGUCGCUGGAUGCCCGCCGGCCGCUGCUCCAAGCCCACCAUGCAGGUGGACAACCUGAUCCCUGGCCAUGAGUACAAGUUCCGGGUCAAGGCCGUCAACCCCGAGGGCGAGUCGGAGCCGCUCGAAGGCGACCACUCCAUCAUCGCCAAGAACCCCUUCGACGCACCCGGGGAGCCGGGCCGGCCGGAGCCGACCGACUGGGACAAGGACUUCUGCGACCUCAAGUGGAAGGCACCCGACUCAGACGGCGGCGCGCCCAUCACCGGCUACGUCAUCGAGAAAAAGGAGAAGGGCUCCAGCAAAUGGAUCAAGGCCGCCGAGACCAAGGGUCCCGACUGCACGGGCCGCGUGCCGAACCUGGAGGAGGGUCAGACGUACGAGUUCCGCGUGCGGGCCGUCAACGAGGCCGGACCAGGCGAGCCAAGUCAGCCGUCCCGCUCCAUCACGGCCAAACCCAGGAAACUGGCUCCCAAGAUCGACCGUCGCAACGUGCGAGACCUGACCGUACGCGAGGGAGAGCCGAUCAUGUUCGACAUCAAGGUCAAGGGCGAGCCGGCGCCGGACGUGACCUGGGCCAAGGACGGCCGGCCCAUCAAACAGUCGGCCCACAACCGGGUCGAAAACGAGCCGUACAGGACCAAGUACACGAACGACACCCCGAAGCGGGGCGACUCGGGCGUAUACACGAUCCAGGCGACCAACCAGCACGGCCGCGACGAAGCCACCAUCGAGAUCACCGUCGUCUCCAAGCCGUCGGCGCCCGAGGGUCCUCUGGAGGUGUCGGACGUCCACAAGGACGGCUGCAAGCUCAAGUGGAAGCCGCCGCUGGACGACGGCGGCGAGCCCAUCGAGGGAUACGUGGUCGAAAAGUACGACCCCGACGUGGGCAUCUGGAUCCCGAUCGGCAACUCGGUGCGCCCCGAGAUGGAGGUCAGCGACCUCACGCCGGGCCACGAGUACCACUUCCGGGUGAAGGCGGUCAACAAGGAGGGCGAGUCCGAGCCGCUGGAGACGCUGGCGCCGAUCGUCGCCAAGGACCCCUUCACCGUGCCGGAGAAGCCGGGCGCGCCGGAGGCGGUCGACUGGUCCACCUCGCAUGUGGAGCUCACGUGGAAGGCGCCGGCGCACGACGGAGGCACCCCCAUCACCGGAUACAUCAUCGAAAAGAAGGACAAAUACGGCUGUAUGUGGGAGAAGGCGUGUGAGCUGGACGGCCCCGAGUGCACGGGCUCGGUGCACGGACUGAUCGAGGGAGUCCAGUACCAGUUCCGCGUCACCGCCGUCAACAAGGCCGGCCAGUCGGAGCCCUCAGAGCCCAGCAAACCCAUCACAGCAAAGGCCAGAUUCCUCGCGCCGAAGAUCGACCGUCGUAACCUGCGCGAUAUCACCAUCUCGGCCGGCUCCAUGGUCAAGUUUGACGUGGACGUCUCCGGAGAGCCCGCGCCCACCACCAAGUGGUUCAAGGAGGGCUUCGAGCUCAAGCCGACCAAGCAGCUGAACAUUGACGACAAGGAGUACAACACCAAGUUCGUGCUGCGUAACGCCAAGCGGGGCGACUCCGGGGAGUACACCAUCACGGCGCAGAACAGCUCCGGAAAGGACACUGUCACCGUCACCGUGACGGUCACCGACAAACCCGGCAAACCUGAGGGACCGCUCAAGGCUUCGGACGUGCACAAGCACGGCUGCAAGCUCAAGUGGCGCCGGCCGAAGGACGACGGUGGCACCCCGGUGGAGUACUUUGAGGUGGAGAAGCAGGACCCGCUGACGGGCAUCUGGACGCCGGCCGGGCGCGCCGACCAGCCCGAGAUCGAGCUAAACAACCUCACCCCCGGCAAGGAGUACAAGUUCCGCGUCAAGGCCGUCAACGCCGAGGGCGAGUCGGAGCCGCUCGUCGGCGAGGAGACGGUCGUCGCCAAAAAUCCCUACGACGAGCCGGACGCGCCCAAGAACCUGAAGGCGACUGACUGGGACAAGGACCACGUGGACCUGAAGUGGGAGCCGCCGCUGAACGAUGGUGGCUCGCCCAUCACCGGCUACCUCGUGGAGAAGAAGGACAAAUACGGCAACUGGGAGAAGGCGCUCGAGGUGCCGGCCGACCAGCUGAAGGCCACUGUCCCCGGGCUGACCGAGGGCGAAAAGUACGACUUCCGCGUGAAGGCCAUCAACGCCGCCGGGCCCGGAUCGCCGAGCAACAACACGGGUCCGAUCACGGCCAAGCCGCGCAACCUGGCGCCCAAGAUCGACCGCACCAACCUGAUCCAGGUGAAGGUGCGCGCCGGACAGAACUUCAGCUACGACGUCAACGUGGCCGGUGAGCCGCCGCCAGAGAAGCGGUGGACGCUGGCUCGCAAAACCGUCACCCCGUCCGACCGUAUCAGGAUCACGCCGUCCGACUACAACAUCAAGCUGCAGGUGCGGAACGCGCACCGCAGCGACUCGGGCACCUACACGCUGACGGCCGAGAACGAGAACGGAAAGGACACCGCCGACGUCGAGGUCAUCGUACUCGACAAGCCGGGUCCUCCGAACGGACCACUGCAGGUGUCUGACGUUCACGCCGAGGGCUGCAAGCUCAAGUGGAGGCCACCCUCAGACGACGGCGGGCUGCCCAUCCAGAAAUACAUCGUCGAAAAGAUGGACGAAGCCACCGGCCGUUGGGUGCGCGCCGGCGAGACGGACGGCCCGCAGACCGAACUGGAGGUGGACGGUCUGGUGCCCGGCAAACACUACAAGUUCCGCGUCAAGGCCGUCAACAAGGAGGGCACCUCCGACCCGCUCACCACACCGCACAGCAUUGAGGCCAAAAAUCCCUUCGACGAGCCGGGCAAGCCUGGUACUCCGGAGAUCACCGAUUAUGACCGCGACUUUGUCGACCUGAAGUGGAAGCCGCCAGAAUCGGACGGUGGCUCCCCCAUCCAAGAGUACAUCGUCCAGCGUAGGGACAAACUCAACCCGAAAUGGGACGACGUGAUGCGCGUGCCGGGCGACAAGCCGCACGCGCACGUGCCGAACCUGAUCGAGGGCAAUGUGUACGAGUUCCGCGUGGUGGCGGUGAACCGGGCUGGUCCGGGCGCGCCGUCAGACGCCACGGCGCCGCACACCGCCCGCGCCAAGAACCUGGCACCGCGGAUCGACCGCACGGCCAUGACGGAGCUGAAGCUGCGCGCCGGACAGACGAUCGAGUUUGACGUGCCCGUCACCGGCGAGCCGCCAGCAACCAAAAAAUGGACAUUUCAGUCGAGUCCCCUGGAGGCGUCUGACCGGGUGAAGAUCACGCCCGAGGACUACCUGAUCAAACUGCGGGUGUUUGACGUGAAGCGCGCCGACUCCGGAGACUACACGCUGACGGCGGAGAACCGCAACGGACGGGACACCAACACCGUCCGGGUCAACGUAAUGGAUGUGCCGUCGCCGCCGCAGGGCCCGCUGCGUCACUCUGACGUCACGAAGUCGGGCUGCACGCUCAGCUGGAAGGUGCCCAAGGACGACGGCGGCUCCGACAUCACCCACUACAGCGUGGAGAAGAUGGACGCCGACACCUUCCGCUGGGUGCCCAUCGGUGACAGCCCGCGCUGCCACAUGAAGGUGGACCACCUGAUUGAGAACCACGACUACAAGUUCCGGGUGUACGCGGUGAACCGGAUGGGCCAGUCGCUGCCGCUGACUGGCACCGAUACCGUCACCGCCAAGGACCCCUUCAAGAAGCCCGACAGGCCCGGAAAGCCCACGGCGACCGACUGGGAUCGGGACCACGUGGACCUGGAGUGGCCGGCGCCCAAACAGGACGGCGGCUCGCCUAUCAGCAAAUACAUCAUUGAGAAGAAGCCCAAAUACGGUAUGUGGGAGAAGGCCGCCGAGGUGCCCGGCGACAAGACGCGCGGCACGGUGCCGGACCUGAGCGAGGGUGAGCAGUACCAGUUCCGCGUGAUCGCCGUCAACCAGGCGGGCCCGUCGGAGCCCGGAGAGUCCAGCGAUACAGUCACCUGCAAACCGCGCUUCGUCAAGCCAUCGUUCAACAAGUCUGCUCUGGAGGAUCUGGUGGUUCGCGCUGGAACCCGAAUUCAGUACAACAUUCCCUUCGAGGGAUCUCCGAAGCCGAAGGUGCAGUGGCAGGUGAGCGGCAAGGUGCUGGAGCCCUCGGAGCGGGUGGACCUGCAGACGUUCUCCGGCCACACCACGCUGGACAUUCCGUUCUCGCUGCGCUCCGACUCGGGCCCGUACCGACUGACGCUGAGCAACGAGCUCGGCUCGGACUCGGCGCAGGCCACCGUCACCGUGCUCGACAAGCCGUCGCCGCCUCAAGGCCCGCUCAAGGUGUCUGACGUCAACAAGGACGGCUGUAAGCUGGCCUGGCGGGAGCCGGAGGACGACGGCGGCUCUCCCAUCACCCACUACCUGGUGGAGAAGAUGGACACGUCCAGAGGCACCUGGACAGAGGUCUGCCAGAGCUCGAACCUGAGCGCCGACGUGAUGGGCCUGGUGCACCGCAAGGAGUACAUGUUCCGCGUCAAGGCCGUCAACAACAUCGGCGAGUCGGAGCCGCUCAAGACGGACCGCAGCAUCAUCGCCAAAAACGAGUGCGACGAGCCCGACGCGCCCGGCCGUCCCAUCGUCACCGACUGGGACAGCGACUUUGUCGAGCUCGAGUGGACCAAGCCGCGCCACGACGGCGGCGCGCCCAUCACCGGGUACAUCAUCCAGAAGAAAGCCAAGGGAUCGCCCAUCUGGCAAAACGCCGCCCGCGUGCCCGCCGAUAAGACGAAGGGUGUCGCGCCUGACCUGACCGAGGGUCAGGAGUAUGAGUUCCGUAUCAUCGCCGUCAACAAGGCCGGCCAGUCGGAGCCCAGCGAGCCCUCUGACCUGGUCAUGGCCAGGCCGCGAAGACUGGCGCCCAAGAUCAAGACGCCGAUGACGGAGCUGCGUAUCAAGGCGGGUCAGAUCCUGCACAUCGACAUCGACUAUGUGGGCGAGCCGGACCCGACCGUAGAGUGGCUGGUCAACGGACACCCGCUGCAGCUCUCCGAGAGGACGACGAUGACGGCCAUCAACCACCACACGGUGGUCCACUCGGUGAACGCGCAGCGCGGCGAGUCGGGCAACUACCUGCUGCGGCUCACCAACGACUCCGGAUCCGACGAGGGUGUGAUGGAGGUGAUUGUGCUGGACAAGCCGAGCCCACCGGAGGGUCCGCUCGAGUACGACGAGGUCACCUCCAGCACCGUGAGUCUCUCCUGGAAGCCGCCCAAGGACGACGGAGGCAGCCCCAUCACCGCCUACAUCGUGGAGAAGCGCGACCUGACGCACGGCGGCGGCUGGGUACCGGCCCUGCAGUACGUCGACCCCAAGAACACGCACGCCACCGUGCCGCGCCUGCUCGAGGGCACCGAGUACGAGUUCCGCGUGCGGGCCCAGAACCUGCAGGGGGUCUCCGAGCCGCUCACCACCGACAAACCCGUCGUCGCCAAAAACUCCUUCGGUGUGCCAGGCAUGCCGGGCCGUCCGGAGGCGGUGGAUGCCGACAAGGACUUCAUCAAGAUCCGCUGGCAGCCACCGCGCUCCAAUGGCGGCAGCCGCAUCACGGGCUACGACGUGGAGCGGCGCGAACACAUGACCGGCCGCUGGACCAAGAUCAGCAGGAACCCGGCGCCGGGCAACGACUACCGGGACGACACGGUGCGGGAGGGAAAAUUGUACGAGUACCGAGUGACGGCCAUCAACGCCGCCGGACCGGGCAGCCCGUCCGACCCGUCCCACACCAUCACUGCCCGGCCCAUGAAAGAGCCGCCGAAGCUGAACCUGGACGGCAUCUUGGGCCGGAAGAUCCGCGUCCGCGCCGGAGAGCCGAUCGACAUCCGGAUCCCGAUGAGCGGAGCGCCGCAGCCGACCGUCGAGUGGACCCGCGACGGCCGCAAGGUGUCUCACGGCGGCCGCGUCGAGAUGGACACGACGCCCGAGUACACGACGUUCCACAUCCCGCGCUCGACGCGCGACGAUGCCGGCAAGUACACGGUGACGGCGACGAACGCCUACGGCUCGGACAAGGGCGACCUGGAGGUGAUCGUGGUGGACAAGCCGGGCCCGCCGCGCGGCCCGCUCUCCUACGACCAAGUCACCGGCACCAGCGUCACCAUGACCUGGCUGCCGCCUUCCGACAACGGAGGCUCCGACAUCACCGGUUACCAAGUGGAGAUGGCCGACUACGGCAUGGACAACUACCGGCCGGUGCCCGGCUACAUCCCCAGCCCGACCUUCACCGUCAAGGGUCUCACCGAGGGCAAGCGCUACAUGUUCCGCAUCAGGGCCGAGAACAUGUACGGCCUCUCCGAGCCGCUCUCCGGCAAGGAGGUCACGGCCAAGAAUCCGUUCGAGGCUCCGGGAGCGCCGAGCGCGCCGAAGAUAGUCUCCUACUCACCGACCGGUGUCAACCUGACCUGGAACCCGCCAGAGGACAACGGCGGAAACCCCGUCUCAGGUUACAUUGUGGAGCGUCGGGACCGCGGCGGCCAGUGGAUCAAAUGCAACAACUACCCGGUACCCAACACGAGCUUCAACGUGGGCCACCUCUCGGAGGGCACCCGCUACGAGUUCCGCGUGAUCGCCGUGAACGACGCGGGCCCGGGCAAACCGAGCAGGCCGUCCGAGUCGGUCACCUGCGGACCCAUGACCUACAAGCCGAGCGCACCGGAGGCUCCUCGUCCGGACCGUAUCACCAAGGACUCGGUGACACUCUCCUGGCGGGCGCCCAACGACGGUGGUGCCAAGAUCCGCGGCUACUUCAUCCAGAAGCAGCCCAAGGGCAGCAAGGACUGGAUCCCGUGCAACGACACGCUGCACCCGCUCAACUCGUUCACGGUGCCGGGCCUGACCGAGGGCGACGAGUACUCGUUCCGCAUCAUCGCCGUCAACGAGGUCGGCGAGUCCGAGCCCGGAAAACCGUCGCCGCUCAUCAAGGUGGAGGAGCAACCGAACAAGCCGCACAUCGACAUCACCGGCAUCCGCGACAUCACGGUGCGCGCCGGCCAGGACUUCAGCAUCCACGUGCCGUUCACGGGCUUCCCGCAGCCGGUAGCCACGUGGACGCGCGACGACGCGCCCAUCGAGGACGACUCGCGCGUGCACCGCCAGCUGUCGGACGACUCGGCCAGCUUCGUGAUGAAGAACGCCCAGCGCGGCGACACCGGCCCGUACAAAGUGCACCUCAAGAACCCGUCCGGAUUCGACACGGCAGUCUGCAACGUCAAGGUGCUGGACCGUCCGUCUCCGCCCAGCGACCUGCGCGCGGACGAGUUUGGCGGCGAGAGCCUCACGCUGCUGUGGAAGCCACCCAAGGACGACGGCGGCGCCAACAUCACAAACUACAUCGUGGAGAAGCGCGAGCGUGGCGCCAGGGACUGGACCAAGGUGUCAAGCUACGUGUCCGGCACGGCUCUGCGGGUGAAGAACCUGACCGUGGGCCGCGACUACGACUUCCGAGUCAGUGCCGAGAACCAAUACGGUAUCUCGGAUCCGUGCCCGACCUCAGAGCCCGUCAAGGCCAGACAUCCGUUCGACGUGCCGGGCGCUCCUGGCGCCCCGCGCGGCCUGGACACCUCCGAGGACUCGAUCACGCUGACCUGGCUCCGGCCGCGCCACGACGGCGGAUCCAUCAUCACCGGCUACGUGCUGGAGAAGAGGAUCCCCGGCGAGAGCUGGUCCAAGGCCAGCCACGGCACCAUCCAGGACCUCCAGUACAGGGUGAUCAACCUCACGGAGGGCCAGGAGUACGAGUUCCGUGUGGCGGCCAAGAACGCUGCCGGACAAGGCCCGUGGAGCAAUCCGUCCGACCCGAUCAAGGCUCAGGCGCCGCCGAGCGCGCCCAAGAUCACGUCGGACCUGGCGAUCCGCGACAUGACGGUGAUGGCCGGCGAGCCAUUCACCAUCACUGUGCCGUUCACGGCCUCGCCCCGACCCCGGCCCAGCUGGACCGUCGGAGGCGAGGAGGUCGUCCAGGACGAACGCAUCAAGUUCGAGACCAGCGACACCACGACUAUCUUCCACAACAAGCGCGCCAAGCGGUCGGACCAGGGCAGCUACACGAUCCGCCUGUCGAACUCGGAGGGCUACGACACGGCCACCUGCCGCGUCCAGGUGGUCGACAAGCCCACCGCGCCACAGGGACCGUUGGACAUCUCGGACAUCACGCCCGAGAACUGUUCCCUGUCCUGGAGGCCGCCGGCCGACGACGGAGGGUCGCCCAUCACAAACUACGUCGUCGAGAAGAUGGACGUCUCGUCGGACAUCUGGAUGAAGGCCUGCAGCUUCGUGCGCGGCUGCUCGUACGAAGUGAUGGGUCUGGAGCCGAACCACAAGUACCUGUUCCGUGUGCGCGCCGAGAACCAGUACGGACUCUCGGAGCCGCUCGACUCGGACGAGCCGAUCACGGCCAAGUUCCCGUUCACCGUGCCCGAUCCGCCGGGCCGGCCCAAGGUGCUCGACUGCACCUCCAGCUCGGCCAAACUCAUGUGGGAGCGGCCCAACUCGGACGGUGGAUCAAAGAUCCAGGGCUACAAGCUCGAGAUGCGCGACGUCACAGACGAGAUGUGGCGCGACUGCAACGACUACCUGGCGCGCGACACCGUCCACCAGGUCAACGCACUCCUCGAGGGACACGAGUACGAGUUCCGCGUCAAGGCCAAGAACGCGGCCGGCUUCAGCAAGCCGUCGCCGCCGAGCCAACGCGUCAAGGUCAAGUCGCGCUUCGGCGUUCCAGGACCGCCGGGCACCCCGCAGGUGGCAAAGGUCACGCGCAGCUACGUCGACCUCAAGUGGGAGCCUCCGGCUUUCGACGGUGGCAGCCGCAUCACCGGCUACCUGGUGGAGAAGCGCGAGCUGGGUAGCGCCUUCUGGGUCAAGUGCAACGACUACAACAUCCCCAGCUGCGAGUUCUCGGCCAUCAACCUGAAGGAGGGCGGCGACUACGAGUUCCGGGUGUACGCGCUGAACGCGGCCGGCCGCAGCGAGCCCGCCCAGGGCCUGGGACCCGUCCGCGUCCAGGACGUGGUCGGAGGCACCAAGCCCGAGUUCGUCAAGUCGCUGAUGAACACGGGCGCCGGCCUGAUGAAGCCCAUGACGCUCACAUGCCAGGCCACUGGCACGCCGCCACCGACGGCGCGCUGGCUGAAGAACGGCCGCGAGGUGAACACGGAGCUGGGCCGCGUCAGCUGCGAGUCCUCGCCGGACGGCACGUUCCGGCUGGUGUUCAGCGAGGUCUGGUCCUCGGACGACGGCGAAUAUGCCUGCGUGGCCAGCAACGCCAUCGGACAGGCCACCACCACCUGCCGCGUCCGCAUCGGAUCUCCACCCAAGAUCGACAAGAUGCCGAACGACCUGUACCUGCCGGAGGGUGACAACACCAAGAUUAAGAUCUACUUCUCUGGCGACCAGCCGAUGAACGUGUCACUGAAGCACGAUGGCCGCGAGGUGCAAGAGGACAAGCACAUCAAGUACACCGUGUUCGACGACUACCUCAUCAUCUUCAUUCGUGAGAUCCAGAAGACAGACGCCGGCGAGUACACGCUCAGAGUGUCCAACGACAGCGGCGACGUGUCGGCCAGCUUCAACAUCUACAUCACCGGACUGCCGGGCGCGCCGCAGGGCCCGCUGCAGGUCACCGAGAUCACCAAACACACGUGCACGCUCACCUGGCGGCCUCCGUCCUACGACGGCGGCGUCAAGGUGACCCACUACGUGGUGGAGCGGCGCGACAUCACCCACUCGCAGUGGGUGAUCGUCUCCACCACGUGCAAGGACACGUCGUUCAUCGUCCAGGGCCUGACCGAGAACCAGGAGUACCUGUUCCGCGUGAUGGCGGUGAACGAGAACGGUAUGGGCCCGCCGCUGGAAGGCCUGAACCCGGUGAAGGCGCGGUCGCCGUACGAUCCGCCCUCGCCACCGGGCGAGCCCAGCGUCAAGGAGGUCGGCGGGGACUUCGUCAAUCUCAGCUGGGAACGGCCCGAGAAGGACGGCGGCGCGCGCAUCCAGGGAUACUGGAUCGAGAAGCGCGAGGUCGGCAGCACCGCCUGGCAGAAGGUCAACCAGGUACUGUGCACGACGACGCAGAUCAACAUCGCAAACCUGGUGGAGGACCGGCAGUACGAGUUCCGCGUGUUCGCCGUCAACGAGGCCGGCACCAGCGAGCCGUCCUCUGCCAGCACCUCCGUGAAGAUUCGGGACCCACACGCGGCGACGCCACCUCAGAUCGUGCAGCCUUUGAAGAACGUGAUGGCACUGGAGAACAAGUCGGCCAACUUCCAGUGCAAGAUCACCGGCACGCCCAAACCGACCAUCACCUGGUACAAGGGCAGUCGCGAGAUCUUCAACAGCAGCAAGUACUACACGGACCGGGAGGGCGACACCUACUACCUGGAGGUACGCGACGUGUACGGAGAGGACGCCGACGACUACAGCUGCCGCGCGCACAACGCCGCCGGACACAAGUCCACCCGCGCCACCCUCACCAUCAAAACGGCACCGAAGAUCAACGUGCCCCCGCGGUUCCGCGACACGGCAUUCUUCGACAAGGGCGAGAACAUCGUCAUCAAGAUUCCGUUCACGGGCAACCCCAAGCCGCGCUGCACGUGGAGCAAGGAGGGCGAGACCAUCGAGAAGGGAUCUCACUACGACCUGCAGACCACGGACCGUCACGCGAUCCUCACAAUCCGCGACGUGGACCGGGCCGACAACGGUCCGUACCGACUGGUGGCCGAGAACGAGCUCGGCAUGGACUCGUGCAUCAUCAAGGUCCAGAUCGCCGACCACCCGGAGCCGCCGCGGUACGUGAUGGCCGAGAAGCCGACCCACAACACGUGCAUCGUCAGCUGGAAGCCGCCCGCCUGGGACGGCGGCAGCAACGUGACCAACUAUAUCAUCGAGAAGCGCGAGCACCCGAUGACCUCCUGGAUCCGCUGCGGAAACACCAGGUUCACGACGCACGAGGCGCAGGGCCUGACGUCGGGCAAGACGUACUCGUUCCGGGUGAUCGCCGAGAACAUUUACGGCCGGUCCGACCCGAGCGUCGAGUCGUCGGCCAUCACCACGCAGGAGACGGCCAAGAAGAAGGGCGACGUCAAGAAAUACGAAGUGGACGAGAACGGCAAGCGUAUCCGCGGCAAGUCGGACCAGAAGGUGGAUAACUACGACCAGUUCGUGUUCGACAUCUACUCCAAGUACGUGCCGCAGCCAGUCGACAUCAAACACGACAGCGUCUACGACCACUACGAGAUACUCGAGGAGAUCGGCACCGGCGCGUUUGGCGUCGUGCACCGCUGCCGCGAGCGCAAGUCGGGCCACAUCUUCGCCGCCAAGUUCAUCCCGAUCAGCCACCCGAUGGAGAAGGAGCUGAUCAAGAAGGAGAUCGACAUCAUGAACCAGCUGCACCACCCGAAGCUGAUCAACCUGCACGACGCGUUCGAGGAGGACGACGAGAUGGUGCUGAUCUUCGAGUUCCUCUCGGGCGGGGAGCUGUUUGAGCGCAUCACUGCCGAGGGCUACACCAUGUCAGAGGCCGAGGUCAUCAACUACAUGCGCCAGAUCUGCGAGGCCGUCAAGCACAUGCACGAGAAGAACAUCAUCCACCUCGACGUAAAGCCGGAGAACAUCAUGUGCCAGACGUCCAAGUCGACCAAGGUGAAGCUGAUCGACUUCGGUCUGGCCACCAAGCUGAACCCCAACGAGCUGGUCAAGAUCUCGACUGGCACGGCCGAGUUCGCUGCGCCGGAGAUCGUGGAGCGGGAGCCGGUCGGCUUCUACACGGAUAUGUGGGCCGUGGGAGUGCUCGGCUACGUUCUACUGUCCGGCCUCUCGCCGUUCGCCGGCGAGAACGACAUCGACACACUCAAAAACGUGCGCUCCUGCGACUGGGACUUUGACGAGGAGGCCUUCAACAACGUCUCAGAAGAGGGCAAGGACUUCAUCCGACGACUCCUCAUCAAGGCCAAGGAGAAGCGGAUGACUGCACACGAGUGUCUGGAGCACCCGUGGCUGAAGGGCGACCACAGCCACCUCACAUCACCGAUCGCCAACUCGCGCUACACGCGCCUGCGCGACCGGAUGCGCGCGCGCUACGACACGUGGGACCAGUUCCUGGUGCCCAUCGGCCACAUCUCCAACUACUCCAGCCUGCGGAAGCUGCAGAUGGAGCGGUACCGCAUGCACGAGGUCACCUUCGACCGGCUGCAGGCGGCGCCGCGCUUCGUCAUCCGCCCGACCUCGGCGUUCGCGUACGAGGGCCAGUCGGUGCGGUUCACGUGUCGGGUCAUCUCGCUGGCGCCGCCGACGGUCACCUGGUACCGCGACAACAUGGAGCUGCGACAGUCGGUCAAAUACAUGCGCCGGUACGCCGGCGACGACUACACCUUCAUCAUCAACCGGGUGAAGCUGUCGGACCGCGGCGAGUACAUGAUCCGCGCCGAGAGCCACUACGGCUUCCGCGAGGAGCCCGUCUUCCUGAACGUGCAGGCGAUGCCGCAGGCGGCGCCGAAGCCGGCCGAGACGCAGCAGCCGGUGCGGCGGCGGCAGCAGCUGUUCAGCUACCGGCGGGUGUGGGAGCAGGAGGCCGACUCGGGCCCGCUCUUCACCUUCCACCUGCGGCCGCGCGUCAUGCAGAUGCACCAGACCUGCAAGCUGCUUUGCUGUCUCAGCGGAAAGCCCACACCCACGAUCAAGUGGUACAAGGGCAGCAAGGAGCUGAGCAAGUACGAGUACACGAUGACGCACAGCGACGGUGUGAUCACAAUGGAGAUCGUCAACUGCCAACCGGAGGACAGCGGCAAGUACCGCUGCGUGGCCUCCAACCACCUCGGCAGCGACGAGACCUACUGCGUCGUCAUCGUCGAGGCGGCACCGACCGGAGGUACCUGCCCACGGUGCCGCACCAGCAGCCAAUCACAAACGGUCACGACUACGCGGCGUCACACAGCUACUCGGCGUCACACAAGACCGACACCUCGUCCUACAAGAGCGACUUCAAGAGCUCGACCAAACAGAGCGCCUCCUCCUUCCAGUCGAGUACAGCUAAGUCCACCGCCGCCGCCUCCUCCGCGAUAUCGAGCAGUCGAACGGAGACCUCGUCAGGCAGCGGCGAGACGACCAAGCGACCUCUGAAGGCGUACGGCACGGGCACCAGCGGCGGCUCCCAGAGCCGCUCGCGCUCGGCCACCAAGGAGCUGGAGAUCCCGCCGGACGACUCGCUGAUGCACGCGCCCGUGUUCGAGGACAAGAUGCCGUCGGAGCUGGCGGUGCGCGACGGGGAGGCGCUGGCGCUGCGCUGCCAGGUGCGCGGCGACCCCGACCCCAAGACGGCCUGGAGCAAAAACGGCGAGCCGCUCAGCUCCUCUGACGUGAUCGACCUCAAGUACCGCAACGGCGUGGCGUCGCUGGUGAUCGCCGAGGUGUUCCCCGAGGAUGAGGGCCUGUACGAGUGCCGCGCCUACAACUCGAUGGGCGAGGUCACCACCACGUGCAAGGUCACCGUCACACCGAUGGAAAGCGCGCCAAAGAAGGGCGCCAGCGGUGAGGUUCCGCCGAGAGUAGUGGAGCACAUCCAGUCCAAGGUGGUCAAGGACGGAGACGCCGUCACACUCACCUGUAAACUCACAG